rnacentral:misc_RNA from 1 species
AUGAGACCCAGUUGGUAUCUCCUCCCGUGUUCUCUAACUUCACCACUGAGCCAUCUACUGCUCCUUUCACACCUCCGCCUGAGUUGGCCCACUUAACUACUCCCUCUUCACCAGAUGUGCCUUUUGCUCGGUUCCUCUCCUCUUCUGUGAAAGUUAAAACUAACACUGGUGCCAAUGAUUUUCAAACAACAUACUCUCUUUAUCCAGGAAGUCCUGCUAGUACUCUCAGAUCCCCUGUUUCGAGGGGACCAGG